rnacentral:lncRNA from 10 species
CUGGCGGUGGCAAGUUUCCCUGACUCAGACAGGCAGUGCUCAUCGCGGACAGGGCCUCCGACAUUUGACUGGCCUUGUAACUGGAAUGCUGAAGUUAUCUGAGCGGGUACUUGGCCUCAUUUUAUAUGAAGGAAAUUUAAAUGCAGAAAGACUAAGAGAUUCAUCUAUGUUUCCAUAGACGGAGUAUGCUGCAGUUGAGAUGUGAAUUCAGGACACGUGAAUGUCCACAGUUUUGCACUCUCCUAUUGAUCUGCUUUUACGGGAUUUCAUCUUGGUUGCUAUGCUACCUCUCACAGAAGCAUCUGCAUUUAUUCGCUUCCAUUCUAGUCAACAAAAACUUAUGGAGAAUUGACUUUGUACCAGGGAUCUUUUAGGUGAGGAAACUGAAAGAGGAAAAAGACAUAGUCUCUGCACUAAAAGAGCUCCCAGUCUAUAGAGGGGACAGACACACCUACCUACUGGACAACAGACCCUCAUGUAGUAAACUAGAGAACUAUUCUAAAACUUCCAAAUGGUAGAAUGAAAGGCUUUAUACCAGUUAAAGGAGUUUAGACAUCAGCUGGCAGCUGGGGAGUGGUCUGGUGAUAUGACAGUGGACACUUGGGCUGCCUGAGAGGAGCAUGCGUUGGUCACAUAAGGUUGCCUGGGCAGAGAUCAGAAGAGAUGGACCUGGUGUCUCUCUCCCAGUUUCCUGUAUUCCCCAGGCAUGACAAGCCCACCCUCUGUGACUGCUGGUGGUCUGGUCCUGGUAAGUGGUCCAUCUGCCUCUUCCAACCACAGCUUUUAUCCCCAUCACAGACUCUGGGCCUACCAAAUCCCUUCUGCAAUCCCCAGCUCCCAGGGCCCAAGAGUCCAGUGUGCUCUCUCAGCCUCUCUCCCCUUUCAUCCAUAGGCAGACUGGAUCCUUGUGCUAGAAAUCCUUCCAGAACCAGCAAUCUGGGCCCCAUCUUUUUCUCUGGCAACAGAAAAAGGCAGAAUACACAGCCCAGGAAGAACUCUGGCAGGAAACCCCUGAAGGGUGACCCAGAACACCUUAGGUCUUGGAAAAUGGACAGGGAGUCUGGAAACAUGGCCCCAGGUGCUGGCUGCACAGAUCUUUGCUUUGUUUUUUUUUAAGUGUAUUAUUUUUAUGUUAAUUUUUUUAUUUCCAUAGGUUUUUGGAAAACAGGUGGUGUUUGGUUCCAUGAGUAAGUUCCUUAGUGGUGAUUUCUGAGAUUUUGGUGCACCCUUCACCCAAGCAGUGUACACUGCACCCAAUUUGUAGUCUUAUCCUCAUCUCUCACCUUAUACAAAAAUCAACUCAAGAUGGAUCAAGCACUUAAAAUCUAAGACCUGAAACUAUAAAAAUUCUAGAAGAUAACAUCAGAAAAACCCUUCUAGACAUUGGCUUAGGCAAAGACUUCAUGACCAAGGACCCAAAAGCAAAUGCAACAAAAACAAAGAUAAAUAGGUGAGACUGAAUUAAACUAAAGAGCUUCUGCACAGCAAAAAAUCCUUGCUUUUUAAUAUGUGCCAGUGUGUAUGGGUGGAGAAAGAGUGGGGUGGCCAUGAAAAUGCACCAUGCAGCUCUUCUGCUGUGGGGGGCAGAGUUGACUGACGACCUCAGCCACUGCCCUGCUGGGUCCACCGCUGUGGCUAUGUCAAAACCUAAGCCAUGCUGCCAGCAAUUUGCUCCCAAUCAACCCCAAGCACAGCAGGGAGUGAGUGCAGGCCCACUCCUGUGAGAAUCAGGGCUCCUCUAAUAGGUGCCUGGGCUCGAGGACAUCCCAGAGGCCUGGCCAAAGCUUUCUUGAAACUGCUCUAGAGUCUGGGACCCUUCCUAUCCAAUCUUCCUUUGUUCCCGUCUCCUCUGCAGGUGUGAGGCUGCAUCUGGGUCUGACGACUCUCGCUGCCCCCUCCCCUUUAUCCUUCACAGGUGUUUCUUGUGCACAUCGAUGCACAUCCUGGCAUCUGCUUCUUGGAGGACCAGAAUUUACACUGUAUUUGAUGAAACUUAAAUUAAUCUAAACUGUGAUAACGACACUUUAUACAUCAUCCUGAGCUAAGAAAUUCGAAGCAAAAAAGUCAUAAAAAUAAGGCUUGGUAGUAACACAAGUAAUAACAAUUACAGGAAUUUAUAGAAACUGCUUACCAUUUAUGCCUAAUUACCAUACAGAGCAACAGCAAUUAUACAGAUUAUUAAAUACAGGUCAAAUUAACAUUGUUGAG